ensembl:snRNA U6 U6 spliceosomal RNA
UUGCUCACUUUGGUAGCACAUAUACUAAAAUUGAAAUGCUACAGAGAAGAUUAGCAUGGCCUCUGUGCAAGGAUGACAUGCAAAUUUGUGAAGCAUUUCAUAUUUUU